rnacentral:rRNA from 1 species
UUGGAGACCUCAAAUCAGGUAGGACUACCCGCUGAACUUAAGCAUAUCAAUAAGCGGAGGAAAAGAAACUAACAAGGAUUCCCCUAGUAACUGCGAGUGAAGCGGGAAAAGCUCAAAUUUGAAAUCUGGCAGUUCUUGACUGUCCGAGUUGUAAUCUAGAGAAGUGUUACCUGUGCUGGACCGUGUACAAGUCUUCUGGAAUGGAGCAUCAUAGAGGGUGAGAAUCCCGUCUUUGACACGGACUACCUGUGCGUUAUGGUGCGCUCUCAAAGAGUCGAGUUGUUUGGGAAYGCAGCUCAAAAUGGGUGGUAAAUGCCAUCUAAAGCUAAAUAUUGGCGAGAGACCGAUAGCGAACAAGUACCGUGAGGGAAAGAUGAAAAGAACUUUGGAAAGAGAGUUAAACAGUACGUGAAAUUGCUGAAAGGGAAACGCUUGAAGUCAGUCGCGUUGGCUAGAAAUCAGCCUUGCUCUUGCACGGUGUACUUUCUGGUUGACGGGUCAGCAUCAAUUUUGACCAUUGGAUAAAGUCUUUGGGAAUGUGGCAUCUUAGGAUGUGUUAUAGCCCAUUGUCGCAUACGGUGGUUGGGAUUGAGGAACUCAGCACGCCGCAAGGCCAGGUUUCGACCAUGUUCGUGCUUAGGAUGCUGGCAUAAUGGCUUUAAUCGACC